rnacentral:rRNA from 1 species
UACAGAGGUCUCAAGCGUUGUUCGGAUUCAUUGGGCGUAAAGGGUGCGCAGGCGGCGCGGUAAGUCGGGGUGUGAAAUCUCGGAGCUUAACUCCGAAACUGCAUUCGAUACUGCCGUGCUUGAGGACUGGAGAGGAGACUGGAAUUUACGGUGUAGCGGUGAAAUGCGUAGAUAUCGUAAGGAAGACCAGUGGCGAAGGCGGGUCUCUGGACAGUUCCUGACGCUGAGGCGACGAA